GACGAACCGUGCGAACGUUGUUCGGAAUCACUGGGCUUAAAGGGCGCGUAGGCGGGCUGCCAAGUCUGGGGUGAAAUCCUCCGGCUCAACCGGAGAACGGCCUCGGAUACUGGCGGUCUCGAGGGAGGUAGGGGCGUGCGGAACUAAGGGUGGAGCGGUGAAAUGCGUUGAUAUCCACAGGAACUCCGGUGGCGAAGGCGGCACG
rnacentral:rRNA from 1 species